GGUAUGGGAUGAGCUUGCGUCCGAUUAGCUAGUUGGCGGGGCAACGGCCCACCAAGGCGACGAUCGGUAGCCGGCCUGAGAGGGUGAUCGGCCACAUUGGGACUGAGAUACGGCCCAGACUCCUACGGGAGGCAGCAGUAGGGAAUAUUGCACAAUGGGGGAAACCCUGAUGCAGCAACGCCACGUGUGGGAAGAAGCAUUUCGGUGUGUAAACCACUGUCGUGAGGGAAUAAUACGCGGUUUCGGCCGCGGGGGAAUGUACCUCGAAAGGAAGCACCGGCAAACUUCGUGCCAGCAGCCGCGGUAAUACGAGGGGUGCAAGCGUUGUUCGGAAUCACUGGGCGUAAAGGGAGCGUAGGCGGAUGCUCAAGCGGAUUGUACAAUACCGGGGCCCAACCCCGGACCUGCAGUCCGAACUGGACAUCUUGGAUAGUUCAGGGGCAGGC
rnacentral:rRNA from 1 species